CGUCGCUCACGCUGGGAGCUGUAGACCGGAGCUGUUCCUGUUCGGCCAUCAUGGCUCCUCCACCACCUCUAUGGCUACUGGAUUCUUUAAGGAUGAAGACAUGGGGGUUACCAAGCACAAUGGAUGAGCUAUGCACUUUCAAAAAGGGGCCAGAAAAGGGAAAAUCUGUGUGCUUCCACCUGUACGAUUAGGAACUGCUGAAACACGCGCCUCACACGUUUAAUCAUGGGAGGAGAAGCCCUCCCGGCAAGAACAAUCCAUCAUCCGACAGACGCUUGAUUGUAACAGAUGACGGAGCACAGAUACAACAAAGCUUUAAAGCACGAAAAAGAUGAACUCGAAACACCAGUGACUGGAGGAACCAUGACAACACAAACAAGAAGGAAACAAGAAAGAAAAAGCAUAAUCCUGGUUUUUGUGUUCUGAAUUGUGGAUUUGAAAUGGAGGCUCCCGUGGCUGCUGACAGCCUGCCUUGAUGCUGCUGAUGUCUGGGUGAUGAACAGUCAUGGGUUUCCUCCCACCUGCCUCUGUGGAUUAAUGAAGAGCAAGGCAGGAAUGGCAGACCUGCCAUCUGGAAUGACCUUACCUGAUAAGAUUGUUCUGCCUUCCCCGCCAAAGGAGCCCACUCCAUUAUGAAAAAGAACUUCAAGCAAAUUUGAAUCUUUCUUCACUGAGUUCUAACAUACUCCAGACCUGUAUUGUGGAAGCUCUUCCUAAAGUCCAUUUGUGUGGAAUGACUGCGCUGCUAUAUCCCAUCGUGGGCAAAGGAUACCUGCUAUGAAGGGCGAACUGGCAUCAAGCCUAAGUCUUCAUUAAGAGCAAGAACCACAACAUUUGGAGAUUACCAACAUGGUUUUCAGCCCUCAGCUUUGGCGAGACUUCUUCCUUUUCAUUCUUUUCUGGGCAAAUCUAAACCUUUGGAGAAGUAGAUGAGUGAAGUCAAUUGCAAAGGGACUGGAUCUCUCUCUAUCACCCAGACUGGAGUGCAGUGGCACAAUCGUGGCUCACUGCAGUCUUGAACUCCUGGCCUCAAGAGAUCUUCCUGCCUCAGCCUCCUGAAUGGUUGCGACUACAGUGACUGGAGUGUAGCUGCCGCCGCCACCACCACCACCACCACCACCACCACCAUCUUAUCACCGCCAGCAAUGAGAUCUCAAGACAUUCUGUAAACAUUUCUUUGGCAUGUAUCAGUGUCCCUGAGAGCGUUGAUAAUCUGCUUGAAUGUGAGCUCAAUGCUGGGACGGCCUCCCCGGACUUGGCAGGCAGCCCUUGAACAAACCUUUUGUGCCUGCAUCCCUCUGAUGGACAGGCACUGAGGAUGCCGGUGACCCAGCUUCUAGAAAGAAUCACAGCAGGGAAGGGGCAUUGCUAAGUAGUCUUCCAACCUGGGGACACAAGCUAAAAAUGAGAGAAAACUCAGAUCAACAGUGCUGCUGAGCUUAUUACGUUUAAGACGAAAAACAAUACCUGAUUAAAGCAACAAAACACCUGGAUAUUUUGCAGUUAGCCCCGUUAAUCAGAGAAGGAUGAGCCUUGGGGCUGUGGCUCAGGUUCCUAAUCCUGUUGCUAGAGUUUUUCACUUUUGUUCUCAUUUCUGCGGCUGACAUGGGAUCCUACAGAUUGUUUAUCCCAAGGCUGUCUGGGCCUGGGCUCUGUGAACAGUGUCACUCUAAAAAUAACAGGCUGUGCCGAGAAUAGCAGACUUUCUCCUUUUUCCUGCAGAAGACGACUUCUCAGCUCCUUGGAGGGGUCAGUACGAGGUGAGAGCCAUAGAAAGAUGGCAACGAAAAAGAAAGAGACAUUCUGCAAUGGGUUGAAUGGGGUCUCCCUGACAUUUACAUCACCCAGAACCUCAAAAUAUGACCUUAUCUGGAAACAGGGUCUUUUGAGAUGUCAUGGAUUCUGCUGCCAUCAGCAGAGAGACAGAAAGGUCUGCCCUCUGGAAGUCAGCUGAAGCCCAGUGCAAAGUGCAGCUGGUCAAGACAUUGUGGUUCUCAAUCAGGAACCCUUUGCAAUGUCAGCCUCCCCUAGGAUGAGUGAGCAAGCUUGGCGGGAAUAUGGGGGUGUUGAUUAUGGUCUCUCCUCUGGGACAUUCAGAAUCAAUCUGUCCGUCGCAAGAUCGAAAUAAAGUGGUGAUAUAGAUGAGUCUGAGAACUUAUCUACAACUCACAGCAGCAACUCUCUGUGUAAAUGUUAAUUGUACAAUCAGGGUAAAAAAAAUAACUCUAAUACCAUAUGUGCAUGUUAGGAAAUUAUCUAAGUGCAUAUGGAAUCGGGAGCUCAGAGGCUGAAGGAACUGAAAGGAUUUUCCAUAUAAAAUUCUUUACUGCAUGUUACAGGCUGAAUUGUGUUUCCUCAAAAUUUAUAUGUUAAAUCCUAAACAUUGGGACCUCAGAAUGUCACUGUAUUUGGAGAUAAGGUCUUUAAAGAGGUGAUUAAGGUAAAAUGAGGUCACUAAGAUGGGCACCAAUCCAAUAGGACUGGGGUCUUUAUAAGAAGAGAAUAUUAGGACACAGACAUAAAUACAGGGACGACCCUGUGAGGACAAAGGGAGAAGACAGCAUCUACAAGCUCAGGAGAGAAGCUUUAGGAGGAGCCAACCCUUCCCAUACCUUGAGCUUAGACUUCCAGCCUCCAGGACUGUGGGAGAAUAAAUGUCUGCUGUUUGUAAACCACCCAGUCUAUGGUGUGCUGUUAUAGCAGCCUGAAAUGGACUAAGCCAUCUCAUAAGAAGAGGAGACAGAUACACACAGAGGGACAACCAUUUGAGGACACAGGGAGAAGACAGUGUCUACAAGCUCAGGAGAGAGGCCUCGAGAGGAACCAGCCCUGCCCACACCUUGAUCUUGGAAUUCCAACCUCCAGGACUGUGGAGAAUAAGUGUCUGUUGCUUGUAAGCCAUUAAGUCUAUGGUAUUAUGUUACAGAAGCCUGAAAUUGACUAAGACAUCUCAUAAGAAGAAGAGAUGAGGACACAGACACACACAGAGGGACGACCACAUGAGGACACAGGGAGAAGAUGGCAUCUACAAGGCUACGAGAGAGGCUUCAGGAGGAACCAGCCGUGCUCACCCCUUGAUCUCAGAUUUCCAGCCUCCAGAACCGUGAGAAAAUAAAUCUUUGUUGUUUAAGUCACCUGGUCUGUGGAACUUUCUUAUGGAAGUCCUAGAAAACUAAUAUACUGCAUGAAAAGAAACCUUCCUAUAACAUCAUUCAUGAGGAUAAAUUUAGCUUGUAUUGUGUUUCUUCAUCGUCAAUAACUUAGAAUAAAAUGUGAGAAGAACAGUAAUGUAAACAUACUGAUAUUUACCCCAAAUGGGAAAAUUGUAGCUAGUAUUUUCCCUCAAGAAGAUCUGUUCCCUUUAUUAUAGAAUUGCUAUUCCAACCACUUCAAUAUUAUAAUUCCUACUAUCUUCCUUAACAUCUCUAUAAAAUAAACCUUAAACAUUUUCCAUCAACAUCUUGCAAAUCAAUUUGCAGGCCAAAAAUUAUUUCUAACAUCUUCCUGAAUUUUUUCAUAUGAUAAUUUAAAUUUAUACUCUCUUUGUUUCCUUUGUGAAAAAACAAUUCCUAGUUAGAAUGAGAAGAAAGCCCCAAUUAUGUUGGGAUUAAAUGCCGGGAACAAUUAAAUGUUGGGAACAUUUUAGUUCAAAAGAAGACCAUGUUUCAUUUCAUUUACCCUUCAAGAAAGGUAAGGUGAAUAUUAUCAUAUAUUUUUCCUCAAUUCCUUGCUAUUCACCCAU
rnacentral:lncRNA from 1 species